rfam:Schistosoma rodhaini strain Burundi genome assembly, scaffold: SROB_scaffold0004305
AUCUAGCUGACGAGUCCCAGAUGGGACGAAACACCCAUCCUGGAU